GUCAUAUACUGUCAUGUGUAACAAUCGGGAUUUUAAUUGUAGGAAGUCUCACCUUCUAGUGUUACAAGUUUGAGUAAAGGCGACUCAUAAAAUCCGUUUGAAAAAAUUUGCCUAUACAUCUCCAGAAGCCAUCCAGAAGCCAACGCAAUAGGAUGGCGAACCACAAAAUCUAAGAUGAGAUUACCAAAGAAAGUCCAAGUAUCCGCUACUAAAUAAUGAGGCCUAACAUUACAUGUAAAUUCUUAAUUUUUGAUAUACUGUUUUUUUUUACCUAUUUGGGAUAUUUAGGAUCUAUGCUUAUUGUUAACGUGGUGAUGUACUUUAGGUGUAGGACCAAUAAAAUAUGCAUAAUGUUGUUGUAACGUUCUUUAUAACUAGCUAUUGAUUUUAAUGUUGUUUUCAUCCA